rnacentral:rRNA from 1 species
GACGAACGCUGGCGGCGUGCUUAACACAUGCAAGUCGAACGGGCCUGUCUUCUUUUUUGGGGGUGGGUUGAGUGGCGAACGGGUGAGUAUCACGUGAGUAACCUGCCCUUCGGUCCUGGAUAACCGCUUGAAAGGGCGGCUAAUACGGGGUGGUCCGGUUGGUCCGCAUGGGCUGGUCGGGAUAGAUUCACUGUUUUUGGUGUUUCGGCGGGGGAUGGGCUCGCGGCCUAUCAGCUUGUUGGUGGGGUGAUGGCCUACCAAGGCGGUGACGGGUAGCCGGACUGGGAGGGUGGGCGGCCACACUGGGACUGAGAUACGGCCCAGACUCCUGCGGGAGGCAGCAGUGGGGGGUAUUGCACAAUGGGCGGAAGCCUGAUGCAGCGACGUCGCGUGAGGGAUGGAGGCCUUCGGGUUGUGAACCUCUGUUUCCGGUGGUGAAGGCCCUGUCCGUGUGGUGGGGUUGACGGUAGCCGGGGAUGAAGCGCCGGCUAACUACGUG